CGGGGAGGGGCUGCUUGGGCGAAGGCCGCCUCCAGCCAGCCGUGCCUACGGACACGUUUCGGCUCCAGUUCUCCCCUCUGGUUUGCCUCCAGCUCUUGCGGACAACAUCAGCCCUCUGGGGACUUGGACUGAUUCUCCAGUUAGCGCAUACCUGUCCCACUCCUGUCUGCAAGAUUUGGAGCCCUGUCUGUGCUUCCAGUUCAGACUUCACCAGCCCUGCAGGGAGGACAAAGGGACCACUGCAGUGCUGGGUACAGAGAGGACACCAGAGCAUCUGAGACAAGUACAGCUAUUGGAGCCAGACCACCUGGGUUUGAAUCCUGCCUUUGCUACUGAUGAAUUAUGUAACCUUGGGCAAGUUGCUGAACCUCUCCAAGCCUCAAUUCCCUCAUCAAUAAAAUGGGGAUUUAUACCUCCUAGGAUUGUUAUUAUCAUUAAAAUAACACAUAUACAUAUCAAACGGUUAGAAUAGUGCCUG
rnacentral:lncRNA from 10 species